rnacentral:ncRNA from 1 species
ACCCCCGUGAGAAUGCCCCACAGUGCCCCGUUCGGGAACAAGGAGCUGGUAUCAGGCACAUACCCCACAGCCCAUGACACCUUGCUUAGCCACACCCUCAAGGGAACUCAGCAGUGAUAAACAUUAAGCCAUGAGUGAAAACUUGACUUAGUUAAAGCUAACAGGGUCGGUAAAACUCGUGCCAGCCACCGCGGUUAUACGAGAGACCCAAGUUGAUAGCCACCGGCGUAAAGCGUGGUUAAGAUCCAGGGAAACACUAAAGCCGAAUGCCCUUAGAGCUGUUAUACGCACCUAAAGGUAAGAAGCCCAAUCACGAAAGUAGCUUUAUUUCCCCGAACCCACGAGAGCUAGGGCACAAACUGGGAUUAGAUACCCCCCUAUGCCUAGCCGUAAACAUAGAUAGUAAUCUACCUCCACUAUCCGCCCGGGUACUACGAGCAUUAGCUUGAAACCCAAAGGACUUGGCGGUGCUUUAGAUCCACCUAGAGGAGCCUGUUCUAGAACCGAUACCCCCCGUUAAACCUCACCUUUCCUUGUUCCCCCCGCCUAUAUACCGCCGUCGUCAGCUUACCCUAUGAAGGCCUAACAGUAAGCAAAAUUGGCACAGCCCAAAACGUCAGGUCGAGGUGUAGCGCAUGGAGAGGGAAGAAAUGGGCUACAUUCCCUGCCCCAGUGAACACGAACAACGCACUGAAACGUACGUUCGAAGGAGGAUUUAGCAGUAAGCAGAAAAUAGAGUGUUCCGCUGAAAUUGGCCCUGAAGCGCGCACACACCGCCCGUCACUCUCCCCAAGUCCUAAAAACUUCCUACAUAAGACCUAAAAUUCACGAAGGGGAGGCAAGUCGUAACAUGGUAAGCAUACCGGAAGGUGUGCUUGGAAAAAC